UAACAGCAACCCCAUCAAAUUAUCUUAGCCCAGCAAAAACCUCUGCAAUUUGCAAAAUUCCACUCCCAAUUUCCGAGGAAAUCUGAUCCUGAGUAGUUCAGAGGAUGUGGGGAUUAGGUGGAAGUCAUUAUUGGGGAAGAAAGGAGAGGGGAAAAGUGGAAGGAAUAGUUGUGGUAUUUGCAUGGAUGUCCAGUCAGGAGAAGCAUUUGAAGAAUUAUGUUGAUAUGUACUCCUCUCGUGGAUGGAAUUCCAUUGUUUGCCAAGCUCAGUUCCUCAAUUUAUUCUUUCCGGAUAAGGCUGCAUCGUUGGCUCAGGAAAUAGUUAAUGAGCUCAUUCAGGAAUUAAAACUAAAGCCAUGCCCCAUCAUAUUUGCAUCUUUUUCUGGUGGUCCAAAAGCUUGUAUGUACAAGGUUCUUCAGAUAAUUGAAGGGAAGUGUGAAGAGCAAAUCAAUCUGGAUGAAUGUCGGCUUGUUAGAGACUCAAUUUCUGGUUACAUAUUCGAUUCUUGUCCGGUGGAUUUCGUAAGUGACCUAGGGAAUCGUUUUUUUCUCCAUCAAGCUGGUCUUACAAUUUCACGCCCUCCACUCAUAGCGUCAUGGAUAACAAGUGGCAUUUCCUCCACCCUGGACGCACUCUUUCUUAGCAGAUUCGAAUCACAGCGUGCUGAAUAUUGGCAGACUCUGUACUCAACAGUCAGUUUUCGGGCUCCAUAUCUCAUAUUAUGCUCCGAGGAUGACGAGCUUGCUCCGUUUCAAAUAAUCUUCAAUUUCGCUACUAGGCUGAUAAACCUUGGAGCUGAUGUUAAAUUGGUUAAAUGGAAUAAAUCAUCACACGUUGGUCAUUUUCGACAUCAUCCAGAAGAAUACAGCGCAGCCAUAACUGAGCUACUGAGCAAAGCUGCAAUAACCUAUUCCCAACGAAUACGACAACUUGAAGGCGAGAAGAUGGGAAUGGAAGGUGGACAUGACGAAAUUUCUUAUCCAUUUAACGGCCUAAGGAAAGCAGCUGCAAUGUCAAGAGACAGCCUCCACAGAGUUAACCUCGACUUGAACGAUUAUUUUCACGUGCCAAGCUCUGUAGAGUAUCACGAGGACAGGGAUGUCGGGUCUAUCCCGGAUGAAUCCAAAGGACGUUACAUACCUCUGUCGAGCCCUCCAAAGAUCAGCGCCCAUGGCGUUUUAGGUCAGUUCCUCUUCGACGCUUGUGUUCCAAAGAAUGUUGAGGACUGGGAUCUGAGGUUUUCGCCCUCCAUGAGAAGUCCUGCAUUUGCUUCGGGGCGGAGGUCUUCUCCUUUCAAUCCUAUAAAGUGCAUCCUUCGAUCUAGAUUAUGAUGGCUGUCGGCUUUAUUCUCCCGUGCAAACACGUAAAAAUAUACGUAUUAUAUCGGUUCAAGAUGGCAUUCGGGGCAAGAAUACGAAGAAAUGCCAGAUUAUAGAGAGUUCUCCACCCGAAAAUACUUGGACUGUAUAAAUGAUCUGGAUUUGAAUCUUAAUCCCCUCUUCUUUCUCAGUCACACCAAUAAACUAGUGAUGCCUCCAUCAGGAAACUGCCAGUAACUGGUCCGGCAAGGGUAGUGGUGGUUCUGGGUUUCGGUUCAAAACUGGCAUGUCGGAAUGUCUAACUAGGUGGCAUGCCGGAAUGUCCAAAACAAAGUCGUCUUGGUCUUAAGUGGCAUGUCGAAAUGUCUAACUACAUUGUAUACAUAAAAAUCAAAUUACAUAGUACUACUAUAUAAAAUAAUCACUUAUUUAUUCUUCAAAAUGACACUGAUGUGUUGGUUUGUCAUUCAAAACUAAUUUUGUCUUGUUAUCUUCACGUCAUUUGAAAUUGUCACUAAUAAAAUUUAAUUUUGCGAGAAUACUCAUGGAAGAUUGACUA